UUGUUCCUACGGGGGGCAGCAGUGAGGAAUAUUGGUCAAUGGGCUUACGCCUGAACCAGCCACGUCGCGUGAGGGAAGACUGCCCUAUGGGUUGUAAACCUCUUUUGUCAGGGAGCAACGCCGGCUACGUGUAGCCGGACUGAGAGUACCUGAAGAAAAAGCAUCGGCUAACUCCGUGCCAGCAGCCGCGGUAAUACGGAGGAUGCGAGCGUUAUCCUGAUUUAUUGGGUUUAAAGGGUGCGUAGGCGGAAUGCCAAGUCAGCGUCACAAUCGCGGGGCUCAACCUC
rnacentral:rRNA from 1 species